rnacentral:rRNA from 1 species
UACGUAGGCAGCGAGCGUUGUUCGGAGUUACUGGGCGUAAAGCGUGCGUAGGCGGUGUCUUAAGUUUGUUGUGAAAUCUCCCGGCUUAACCGGGAGGGUGCGGCGAAUACUGAGAUGCUGGAGUGCGGUAGGGGAGACUGGAAUCCUGGUGUAGCGGUGAAAUGCGCAGAUAUCAGGAGGAACACCGGUGGCGAAGGCGGGUCUCUGGGCCGUAACUGACGCUGGAGGAGCGAAAGCGUGGGAGCGAACAGG